rnacentral:rRNA from 1 species
UACGUAGGGGGCUAGCGUUGUCCGGAAUCAUUGGGCGUAAAGAGCGUGUAGGCUGCUCGGUAAGUCCGCUGUAAAAAGUCAAAGGCUCAACCUUUGAAUGUCAGUGGAUACUGCCGGGCUUGAGUGCGGCAGAGGGGGGUGGAAUUCCGCGUGUAGCAGUGAAAUGCGUAGAUAUCUGGAGGAACACCGGUGGCGAAGGCGGCAUCCUGGACCAAUAUUGACGCUGAGGAGCGAAAGCCAGGGGAGCAAACGGG